AUGUUGUCGGGGCCUCCGAGGUGCAGCAGCAGGAACGGCGCCCAGAAGGCGACGAUCGGAUGAUCCCGCAGCGCGCCCUUGAUGGAGAAGUGGCCGAGGGCCUAGGUGGCGGUGUAGUCGGCCAGCUGGUACGCCAGCCAGAGCAGGAAGCGGAGCACGGAGUGCGCUCCACGCCGGCGGAUCCCAGCGAAGAGGAAGAGGACGACCUGGAGGCCGAGGCUGAGCAGCACCAGGAUCGGGAUGGACGAAUUGUUCCACAGGUCCCGUGGCCACGCAGCCAUUUGGAGACGACCGCCUUACUUGACUACCAACUAA
rnacentral:rRNA from 1 species